GAUGAACGCUGGCGGCGUGCUUAACACAUGCAAGUCGAACGACGAAGCCCAGCUUGCUGGGUGGAUUAGUGGCGAACGGGUGAGUAACACGUGAGUAACCUGCCCUUAACUCUGGGAUAAGCCUGGGAAACUGGGUCUAAUACCGGAUAGGAGCGUCCACCGCAUGGUGGGUGUUGGAAAGAUUUAUCGGUUUUGGAUGGACUCGCGGCCUAUCAGCUUGUUGGUGAGGUAAUGGCUCACCAAGGCGACGACGGGUAGCCGGCCUGAGAGGGUGACCGGCCACACUGGGACUGAGACACGGCCCAGACUCCUACGGGAGGCAGCAGUGGGGAAUAUUGCACAAUGGGCGAAAGCCUGAUGCAGCGACGCCGCGUGAGGGAUGACGGCCUUCGGGUUGUAAACCUCUUUCAGUAGGGAAGAAGCGAAAGUGACGGUACCUGCAGAAGAAGCACCGGCUAACUACGUG
rnacentral:rRNA from 1 species